rnacentral:rRNA from 1 species
GACGAACGCUGGCGGCGUGCUUAAUACAUGCAAGUCAACUGAACUUGAAGUAGCAAUAUUUCAAGGGAGGUGGCGCACGGGUGAGUAACACGUAGGUAAUCUGCCUUUAGGUCUGACAUAAUUCCGCGAAAGCGGGACUAACUUCAGAUGAUGCAGCGGCUCGACAUCGAGACAGUUGUUAAAUCUUCGGAGCCUAAAGAUGAGCCUGCGUCUGAUUAGGUAGUUGGCGGAGUAAAAGCCCACCAAGCCUGCGAUCAGUAGCUGGUCUGAGAGGAUGAUCAGCCACACUGGAACUGAGACACGGUCCAGACUCCUACGGGAGGCAGCAGUAAGGAAUAUGCUCAAUGGCCGAAAGGCUGAAGCAGCAACGCCGCGUGGAGGAUGAAAUACUUUUGUAUGUAAACUCCUGUAAGAAGGGAAAAUAUUUCGAUUAUCGGAAUUGAUUGUACCUUCAGAGUAAGCA